UGGGGAAUAUUGGACAAUGGGGGCAACCCUGAUCCAGCAAUGCCGCGUGUGUGAAGAAGGUUUUCGGAUUGUAAAGCACUUUCGACGGGGACGAUGAUGACGGUACCCGUAGAAGAAGCCCCGGCUAACUUCGUGCCAGCAGCCGCGGUAAUACGAAGGGGGCUAGCGUUGCUCGGAAUGACUGGGCGUAAAGGGCGUGUAGGCGGUUUGUACAGUCAGAUGUGAAAUCCCCGGGCUUAACCUGGGAGCUGCAUUUGAUACGUGCAGACUAGAGUGUGAGAGAGGGUUGUGGAAUUCCCAGUGUAGAGGUGAAAUUCGUAGAUAUUGGGAAGAACACCGGUGGCGAAGGCGGCAACCUGGCUCAUAACUGACGCUGAGGCGCGAAAGCGUGGGGAGCAAACAGG
rnacentral:rRNA from 1 species